rnacentral:rRNA from 1 species
UACAGAGGGUGCGAGCGUUGUUCGGAAUCACUGGGCGUAAAGCGCGCGCAGGCGGGCGAGUAAGUCAGAAGGGAAAUUCCGGGGCUCAACCCCGGAGCUGCUCCUGAUACUGCACGUCUGGAGACCGGUAGAGGCUGGUGGAAUUCCCGGUGUAGCGGUGGAAUGCGUAGAGAUCAGCAGGAACACCCGUGGCGAAGGCGGCCCCCUGGGCCGUACCUGACGCUGAGGCGCGAAGGCUAGGGGAGCGAACGGG